rnacentral:rRNA from 1 species
ACAUGGGUGAUAAGGUCCGUGUUCGAAAGGGAAACAGCCCAGACCACCAGCUAAGGUCCCAAAAUAUAUGUUAAGUGGAAAAGGAUGUGGCGUUGCCCAGACAACUAGGAUGUUGGCUUAGAAGCAGCCAUCAUUUAAAGAGUGCGUAAUAGCUCACUAGUCGAGUGACACUGCGCCGAAAAUGUACCGGGGCUAAACAUAUUACCGAAGCUGUGGAUUGUCCUUUGGACAAUGGUAGGAGAGCGUUCUAAGGGCGUUGAAGCAUGAUCGUAAGGACAUGUGGAGCGCUUAGAAGUGAGAAUGCCGGUGUGAGUAGCGAAAGACGGGUGAGAAUCCCGUCCACCGAUUGACUAAGGUUUCCAGAGGAAGGCUCGUCCGCUCUGGGUUAGUCGGGUCCUAAGCUGAGGCCGACAGGCGUAGGCGAUGGAUAACAGGUUGAUAUUCCUGUACCACCUAUAAUCGUUUUAAUCGAUGGGGGGACGCAGUAGGAUAGGCGAAGCGUGCGAUUGGAUUGCACGUCUAAGCAGUAAGGCUGAGUAUUAGGCAAAUCCGGUACUCGUUAAGGCUGAGCUGUGAUGGGGAGAAGACAUUGUGUCUUCGAGUCGUUGAUUUCACACUGCCGAGAAAAGCCUCUAGAUAGAAAAUAGGUGCCCGUACCGCAAACCGACACAGGUAGUCAAGAUGAGAAUUCUAAGGUGAGCGAGCGAACUCUCGUUAAGGAACUCGGCAAAAUGACCCCGUAACUUCGGGAGAAGGGGUGCUCUUUAGGGUUAACGCCCAGAAGAGCCGCAGUGAAUAGGCCCAAGCGACUGUUUAUCAAAAACACAGGUCUCUGCUAAACCGUAAGGUGAUGUAUAGGGGCUGACGCCUGCCCGGUGCUGGAAGGUUAAGAGGAGUGGUUAGCUUCUGCGAAGCUACGAAUCGAAGCCCCAGUAAACGGCGGCCGUAACUAUAACGGUCCUAAGGUAGCGAAAUUCCUUGUCGGGUAAGUUCCGACCCGCACGAAAGGCGUAAC